rnacentral:rRNA from 1 species
AAUCCCGUCUUACUUUCACAGUUUCGCCUCAUAAGUUUAUGCAAUGUCUUCUACAAGAUUGCCUCUAAGGUGUUAGCGAAUCGUCUGAAGGCCGUGUUGCCUGAUAUUAUAUCCGAAGAGCAGUCUGAAUUUGUGCCUGCUAGACAUGAUGAAGGCUUAUGA